GAACCGUGCGAACGUUGUUCGGAUUCACUGGGCUUAAAGGGCGCGUAGGCGGGCUGCCAAGUCAGGGGUGAAAUCCUCCGGCUCAACCGGAGAACAGCCUUUGAUACUGGCGGUCUGGAGGGAGGUAGGGGCAGGUGGAACUUCUGGUGGAGCGGUGAAAUGCGUAGAUAUCAGAAGGAACGCCGGUGGCGAAAGCGACCUGCUGGACCUCUUCUGACGCUGAGGCGCGAAAGCUAGGGGAGCAAACGGGAUUAGAUACCCCGGUAGUCCUAGCCCUAAACGAUGGGUACUAGAUUGUGGACUUAACAUGGGUUCACAGUCGAAGCAAAAGUGUUAAGUACCCCGCCUGGGGAGUAUGGUCGCAAGGCUGAA
rnacentral:rRNA from 1 species